rnacentral:tRNA from 1 species
GCGGGCGUAGUUCAGUGGCAGAACAUCAGCUUCCCAAGCUGAAUAUGAGGGUCCGAUUCCCUUCGCCCGCUCCA